UCUUCAUCAUCAUUCAUCAUCAUCAAACUGUUCAUUGCUGUGUUCAGUGGUGAAUGUGAGUGAUGUGACUCUCUCCUGGUACAAAGGAAACAGUUUAUUGUCCAGCAUCAUCAGUGUGUCUGAUCUCAGCAUCAGUUUCUCUCUACCUCUGGAGGUGGAAUAUGAGGAUAAAAACACCUACAGCUGUGUGCUCAACAAUCCCAUCAGAAACCAGACUCAACAUCUGAACAUCAGCAAACUCUGUCACACAUGUUCAGACUCUGUUCACUGUUGUGGUUCUACUGAAGCUGUGAUCCGAUUGGUCCUCUCUGCUCUGGUGAGCGUGGCUACUGUCGUUAAUCUGAUUUAUGACAUCAGAUCCAGAAACACUGAACAGGAUUGAGCACAUAUUCACACACCAGAAACAAUUGAAGUCUAAAGCAGAAUUCAGAA